rnacentral:rRNA from 1 species
AGAGUUUGAUCCUGGCUCAGGAUAAACGCUGGCGGCGUGCCUAAUACAUGCAAGUCGAUCGAUGGAUGCCCAGCUUGCUGGGAGGAAAUAGAGGCGAACGGGUGAGUAAUACGUAAGCAACCUGCCCACGAAGACCGGGAUAAUCCCUGGAAACGGGGACUAAGACCGGAUAGGUAACAGAACCGCAUGAUUUUGUUAUUAAAGGUUAAAAACACUGGUGGAUGGGCUUACGGUGCAUUAGCUUGUUGGUGAGGUAACGGCCCACCAAGGCGAUGAUGCAUAGCUGGUCUGAGAGGAUGAACAGCCACAUUGGGACUGAGACACGGCCCAGACUCCUACGGGAGGCAGCAGUAGGGAAUUUUCGGCAAUGGGGGAAACCCUGACCGAGCAACGCCGCGUGAGUGAAGAAGGUCUUCGGAUUGUAAAGCUCUGUUGUAAGGGAAGAAAUGUACUGUGAGAAACAGUACUUGACGGUACCUUACCAGAAAGCUACGGCUAACUACGUGCCAGCAGCCGCGGUAAUACGUAGGUAGCGAGCGUUAUCCGGAAUUAUUGGGCGUAAAGGGUGCGUAGGCGGCCAUUUAAGUUCAUGGUGAAAGCGUGGGGCUCAACCCCAUAAAGCCAUGGAUACUGGAUGGCUGGAGUACUGGAGAGGGUAGUGGAAUUCCAUGUGUAGCGGUAAAAUGCGUAGAUAUAUGGAGGAACACCGGUGGCGAAGGCGGCUACCUGGACAGAGACUGACGCUGAGGCACGAAAGCGUGGGGAGCAAAUAGGAUUAGAUACCCUAGUAGUCCACGCUGUAAACGAUGAAUGCUGGGUAUCGGGGAGACUCGGUGCCGUAACUAACGCGAUAAGCAUUCCGCCUGUGGAGUAUGCACGCAAGUGUGAAACAUAAAGGAAUUGACGGGGGCCCG